rnacentral:ncRNA from 2 species
CAGAAUCAGCGGGGAAAGAA